rnacentral:rRNA from 1 species
UGGGGAAUAUUGGACAAUGGGGGAAACCCUGAUCCAGCGAUGCCGCGUGAAUGAAGAAGGCCUUAGGGUUGUAAAGUUCUUUCACCUGUGACGAUGAUGACGGUAGCAGGAGAAGACGCCCCGGCUAACUCCGUGCCAGCAGCCGCGGUAAUACGGAGGGGGCUAGCGUUGUUCGGAAUAACUGGGCGUAAAGGGCGCGUAGGCGGUUUAAUAAGUUAGGCGUGAAAGCCCCGGGCUUAACCUGGGAUGUGCGUUUAAGACUGUUAAGCUAGAGUGCGAGAGAGGAAAGUGGAAUUCCUAGUGUAGAGGUGAAAUUCGUAGAUAUUAGGAAGAACACCAGUGGCGAAGGCGGCUUACUGGUCCAUUACUGACGCUGAGGUGCGAAAGCGUGGGGAGCAAACA